CUUUUGAGUACCUAUGUUUCCUCGGCAGGCUUGCCUGCCGGCUGGACAAUACCAUAACCCUUUUUGAUUUUGAAUCAGCGUCUGAAAAAUUUAAUAAUUACAACUUUCAACAACGGAUCUCUUGGUUCUGGCAUCGAUGAAGAACGCAGCGAAAUGCGAUAAGUAGUGUGAAUUGCAGAAUUCAGUGAAUCAUCGAAUCUUUGAACGCACAUUGCGCCCCUUGGUAUUCCAUGGGGCAUGCCUGUUCGAGCGUCAUUUG
rnacentral:rRNA from 1 species